GCAGAGUUUGUGCAUAACAAUUAUCGAAAACAUCAAGGAUGGAGUUGGUUGGCCUGGGAAUAUAAAGACUUAAUGAGACCUUGGUGUCUGGAUAAGGUAACUCCCCAAUUAUCUGAAAAAGUUGCAUGAUGUGAAUGAAGAUGUCUAGAUACAUGUUACUAAUUACGAUUGCGUUGAUAUUAUUAUUUUUAUUAUCAAUUUGUGUUCACAGGGAACAAUGAAACUCAAAUGCCACCGCCAAUCCCAUAUAUCUCUCUGUAUGUUUUGUUCUUCAAUUCCCUCCUUCCACGUGUUUAUAGUUAAAGUGGUACAUACUACAGACCACUUUGAAUUCAAUUGACGUAUAUUUUUUCUUUCUAACACAGGAAUAUAUGUGGGAGAAGUUCUUUUUCAGGAUUCCGAAGUCUGCAAUGAUAUUCAUCUACGAAGUUUUGUUCCAUUGUCAACUCUGAAGAUUCCUUAAUCCUUCAACUCCCUCCAUCUCCCAGGUUCGAAUUAUUAACAAGCCAAUGUUUUCAUAAGUGUCAGUCACGAUCCUGACAUUCCUUUGUCUUAAUAAUCCAUUUAAUGUAGCACAUAAUCUGGUUCUAAACAAAUCUUUCUGCCACCCUGUUGUGUGUUUGUUUUGAUUAAGAUGUAUUAUAGUAAUUGGGUCGGGUGAUCUGUGGUUGCAGGUGCCAGUGAAGAGGAGCUAAAAAAUAUUAGACAAAAUUACAACACUUCAGAUCCUGGUUUCUCCUUUUGGUAAGGU
rnacentral:lncRNA from 1 species